rnacentral:rRNA from 1 species
GAUGAACGCUAGCUACAGGCUUAACACAUGCAAGUCGAGGGGCAGCAUGAACUUAGCUUGCUAAGUUUGAUGGCGACCGGCGCACGGGUGAGUAACACGUAUCCAACCUUCCGUUUACUCAGGGAUAGCCUUUCGAAAGAAAGAUUAAUACCUGAUAGUAUGGUGAGAUUGCAUGAUAACACCAUUAAAGAUUUAUUGGUAAACGAUGGGGAUGCGUUCCAUUAGGUAGUAGGCGGGGUAACGGCCCACCUAGCCUGCGAUGGAUAGGGGUUCUGAGAGGAAGGUCCCCCACAUUGGAACUGAGACACGGUCCAAACUCCUACGGGAGGCAGCAGUGAGGAAUAUUGGUCAAUGGACGAGAGUCUGAACCAGCCAAGUAGCGUGCAGGAUGACGGCCCUAUGGGUUGUAAACUGCUUUUAUAAGGGAAUAAAGUGAGUCUCGUGAGACUUUUUGCAUGUACCUUAUGAAUAAGGACC